ACCUCAGUCUUUCUAAGCCUCAGCUGUGGAUGUGAGGUCCCUGGCAUUUGGGGCUGGAGAACUCUGGGGGAG